rnacentral:rRNA from 1 species
AACGAACGCUGGCGGCAUGCCUAACACAUGCAAGUCGAACGAGACCUUCGGGUCUAGUGGCGCACGGGUGCGUAACGCGUGGGAACCUGCCCUUAGGUUCGGAAUAACUCCCCGAAAGGGGUGCUAAUACCGGCUAAUGUCUUCGGACCAAAGAUUUAUCGCCUUUGGAUGGGCCCGCGUUGGAUUAGCUAGUUGGUAGGGUAAAAGCCUACCAAGGCGACGAUCCAUAGCUGGUCUGAGGGGAUGAUCAGCCACACUGGGACUGAGACACGGCCCAGACUCCUACGGGAGGCAGCAGUGGGGAAUAUUGGACAAUGGGCGAAAGCCUGAUCCAGCAAUGCCGCGUGAGUGAUGAAGGCCUUAGGGUUGUAAAGCUCUUUUACCCGGGAUGAUAAUGACAGUACCGGGAGAAUAAGCACCGGCUAACUCCGUG